GACGAACGCUGGCGGCGUGCUUAACAUAUGCAAGUCGAACGAAGUGGCGAACGGGUGAGUAACGCGUAAUCAACCUGCCCUUCAGAGGGGGACAACAGGUGGAAACGACUGCUAAUACCGCAUACUGAAGGAGGGGAUUGCGUCUGAUUAGCUAGUUGGGGGGGUAACGGCCCACCAAGGCGAUGAUCAGUAGCCGGUCUGGGAUGGUGAACGGCCACAUUGGGACUGAGACACGGCCCAGACUCCUACGGGAGGCAGCAGUGGGGAAUCUUCCGCAAUGGACGAAAGUCUGACGGAGCAACGCCGCGUGAGUGAUGACGGCCUUCGGGUUGUAAAGCUCUGUUAAUCGGGACGCGGUACCGGAAUAGAAAGCCACGGCUAACUACGUGCCAGCAGCCGCGGUAAUAC
rnacentral:rRNA from 1 species